rnacentral:rRNA from 1 species
GACGAACGCUGGCGGCGUGCUUUACACAUGCAAGUCGAACGGUGAAGGUGGAGCUUGCUCCGCCGGAUCAGUGGCGAACGGGUGAGUAACACGUGGGCAACCUGCCCCUAACUUUGGGAUAACUACUCGAAAGAGUAGCUAAUACCGGAUAUGAAGUCUGUAGGCAUCUAUGGAUUUGGAAAGUCUUUCGGUUAGGGAUGGGCCCGCGGCCUAUCAGCUUGUUGGUGAGGUAGUGGCUCACCAAGGCGACGACGGGUAGCCGGCCUGAGAGGGCGACCGGCCACACUGGGACUGAGACACGGCCCAGACUCCUACGGGAGGCAGCAGUGGGGAAUAUUGCGCAAUGGGCGAAAGCCUGACGCAGCAACGCCGCGUGCGGGAUGAAGGCCUUCGGGUUGUAAACCGCUUUCAGCAGGGAAGAAGCGAAAGUGACGGUACCUGCAGAAGAAGCACCGGCUAACUACGUGCCAGCAGCCGCCGCCG